rnacentral:rRNA from 1 species
UACGGAGGAUGCUAGCGUUAUCCGGAAUGAUUGGGCGUAAAGCGUCCGCAGGUGGCAAUGUAAGUCUGCUGUCAAAGCGUCUGGCUCAACCAGAUAAAGGCAGUGGAAACUACAUAGCUAGAGUAAGGUAGGGGUAGAGGGAAUUCCUGGUGUAGCGGUGAAAUGCGUAGAGAUCAGGAAGAACACCGGUGGCGAAAGCGCUCUGCUGGACCUUAACUGACACUGAGGGACGAAAGCUAGGGGAGCGAAUGGG